UACAGAGGUCCCAAGCGUUGUUCGGAUUCACUGGGCGUAAAGGGUGCGUAGGUGGCCAGGUAAGUUCGGUGUGAAAGCUCGGAGCUUAACUCCGAAAAGGCAUUGAAUACUAUCUGGCUGGAGGGUCGGAGGGGAGACUGGAAUUCUCGGUGUAGCAGUGAAAUGCGUAGAUAUCGAGAGGAACACCAGUGGCGAAGGCGAGUCUCUGGACGACACCUGACACUGAGGCACGAAAGCCAGGGGAGCAAACAGG
rnacentral:rRNA from 1 species